rnacentral:rRNA from 1 species
CCUACGGGAGGCAGCAGUGAGGAAUAUUGGUCAAUGGACGAGAGUCUGAACCAGCCAAGUAGCGUGAAGGAUGACUGCCCUAUGGGUUGUAAACUUCUUUUAUAUGGGAAUAAAAUGUUCCACGUGUGGGAUUUUGUAUGUACCAUAUGAAUAAGGAUCGGCUAACUCCGUGCCAGCAGCUGCGGUAAUACGGAGGAUCCGAGCGUUAUCCGGAUUUAUUGGGUUUAAAGGGAGCGUAGGUGGAUUGUUAAGUCAGUUGUGAAAGUUUGCGGCGCAACCGUAAAAUUGCAGUUGAAACUGGCAGUCUUGAGUACAGUAGAGGUGGGCGGAAUUCGUGGUGUAGCGGUGAAAUGCUUAGAUAUCACGAAGAACUCCGAUUGCGAAGGCAGUUCACUGGACUGCAACUGACACUGAGGCUCGAAAGUGUGGGUAUCAAACAGGAUUAGAUACCCUUGUAGUC